rnacentral:rRNA from 1 species
AUUGAGCGCUGGCGGCAGGCCUAACACAUGCAAGUCGAGCGGAUGGAGGGAGCUUGCUCCUGGAUUCAGCGGCGGACGGGUGAGUAAUGCCUAGGAAUCUGCCUGGUAGUGGGGGAUAACGUCCGGAAACGGGCGCUAAUACCGCAUACGUCCUGAGGGAGAAAGUGGGGGAUCUUCGGACCUCACGCUAUCAGAUGAGCCUAGGUCGGAUUAGCUAGUUGGUGGGGUAAAGGCCUACCAAGGCGACGAUCCGUAACUGGUCUGAGAGGAUGAUCAGUCACACUGGAACUGAGACACGGUCCAGACUCCUACGGGAGGCAGCAGUGGGGAAUAUUGGACAAAGGGCGAAAGCCUGAUCCAGCCAUGCCGCGUGUGUGAAGAAGGUCUUCGGAUUGUAAAGCACUUUAAGUUGGGAGGAAGGGCAGUAAGUUAAUACCUUGCUGUUUUGACGUUACCAACAGAAUAAGCACCGGCUAACUUCGUG